UAUAAUAUGUAUUUAUAACUGUUACAUACUAUUAAAAAAUUCUCAUAAUGUAAAAUAUCAUAAAGUAGGUAAUGACUUUUUAUUAAGGGAGCAAAGUUUGUCCCUGUUAUGAAUCAUUUACAAACUAAAUUUGAUGUAUAGCUUAUACCAAGGUGUGUUAUAUAAUAUGGCAGAAAAAAUCAAUACACUACAGUCUACUCUUUAGUAUUAGGAGCAGAAGAAGGUGUUAUUUAUUUGGACCUUAAUACAUCUAAUUUACAAUAUUUCUAGAUGGCUGCAUUUUCAUUAAAUAUUCAAAAACGUAUAGAAUCAGGUCUCGUAGCUAGUGGAAAAUUUGAUGGUUCUCAUGCUUGUUUAACAGCUGUAACCUCUGGAGGAAAUAUUUUAGUACACAGUCCUCAUAGGCAACCUCAAAUUAAGAACAAUGAUUCUGAACAACCAGAUGGAAGAUUAUCUUGGAGUGGGGAACUUGCUGAAUUGCAAAUUGAUAGUCAGGUAACAGCAAUAUGCACUGGGCAUCUUGGGGAAGAUGAAAGAGAUAUUCUUUUAAUAGGAACUUCUACACACAUUUUCGCUUAUCACGUAGAAGAUAAUGCUGAUAUUUUUUAUAAAGAGAUGACAGAUGGUGCACUGUAUAUAACGAUAGGAAAACUUGGAUGGUUAUCGGAUCAAGUAGCAGUCAUUGGUGGUAAUAGCUCGAUAACCGUCUUAGAUUCCAAGGGAACGGAAAUUUUUUGGACAGUGAUGGGUGACAUAGUUACUUCCAUUGCAAUAUUUGAUUUUGAAGGUGAUCACGAGAAUGAGUUGCUUAUUGGGACAAAAGAUUUUGAAAUAAAAUUAUUGAAAGAAGAUGCAAUAGUGUGGGAUACAAAAGAAACGGCAUCGGUAACUGCAUUGGCAGGACUUUCUAAUAAACAAUUUGCAUAUGCAGUGGGAAAUGGAACAAUAGGUGUUUAUGAAGCUGGCCAAAGGCUUUGGCGAGUUAAAUCUAAACACAGAGCAGUGUCUAUACGAAAUUUUGAUAUAAAUGGAGAUGGUGUGUUAGAGCUCAUCACUGGAUGGAGUAGCGGGAAAGUUGAUGCAAGAUCUUGUAAUACCGGAGAUGUCAUAUUUAAAAUACAAUUGUCUACUGGCGUGGCUGGCAUUGUAGAGGCUGAUUAUAGAAGACAAGGUAGACCAGAUUUAGUUGCCGUAUCUAUUUCUGGAGAAGUGCGUGGAUAUGCUCCUGGAACUGCAAUGGAUGCUCCAGAGCCUGGUGAAAUAAUGCGUGAAUUAUUGUCUAAGAAACAAGCGUUACAAAUGGAACUUCGACAAAGAGCUGCAUCGGUUCCAAAUAUGUAUCAUCAUACAAAGCUAGCAGUUAGUUUAAUAUCAGCUAGGGGUGCAGCCCGUCUUGGUAUUGCAGCCGGACCAGGUCUUUUGGUUUAUUGUGCCAUAGUAUUUGCAGAAGGUGUAUUCGAGGGUGAAACACUUGUAGCUCAUCCAAAUAGGCCGCAAGGUGAAUUAGAAAUUGAAUUACGUCCUCCAAAAAAUGGGCCUAUCGAUAUUCAUGUAAAAAUUAGUGUUGGUCCACCUGGUGCAGAUUUAUUACAGGUUUUCGAAAUGACAAGACAAUUACCCAGAUUUUGUAUGUAUGAAAUUAUUUCACAUCCAGAGGAAGCUUCCCAAACGGUAAUAGAUGGCGGUAUUACUAUAGAGGUUGCUGAGAGAGCACAGCGUAUUGCAUUAUGGUUGAAUCAAAGUCUUCUGCUUGCAGAGGAGUUUGAAGUCGCGGAAGAAGGGCCAAACGCUGCCUCGAUCGAACUUUGGCUUCGUGGAUUAAGAGAUAACAAAAUCCAUUGCUUUACAGCAAGCCCUUCUGGAAAAAUAACAGUACAAACGGAAGACUCGACGUUUGCUGGUGAUAUAGUUCAAUCUUUGGCAAUGUAUUUGGGUCUUAGAGAGCUUAAUUCUGAAUCAAAAUUUCCAAACGAAGAAAGUAAAAUGCUAGAAGCUUUAGAACGCGUCAAAGGCUUAAAAGAUGUCGAUGCGAAACUUCAAGCGGAAGCUGCUAGUACUGCUCUUCUUCUUAAAAAUGUUGUUAUUCGCUUAGAAGAUGCACGAAUAUUGCAAAAUGUAGAAGAAAUGAGGAAGCGAUUAUUACAAUUGAAAGCUAUAAACAGUGACCUAAUUAGAAAUCACGAAAUCAGAAUGAAUAGUAAUCGAGAUCUUUCAAUAAAUUUGAAAGAAUUGAAUAUCGGUGUCCAACGAGUCGCAAAAUUAAGAGUCGGUAAAGCUGCUACAAAUGCAGUCACACGGUGCAGGACUGCGAUACAGGAUGAAAAUCCAAGGGCGCUCCUUGCAGCAAUGCGAAACGGUUGAUUCUGACGCCUUACGUAAGGACGAAUAUACGGUAUUUUUAUUUUUCUGCGUCACUAUUGCUACACCUGAUAAUGAAAUACAGUCUUACAUGUACAUUGUAAAUCGAGUUUUAUAUACUUCCGUGAUAUACUGCAUUGUGUUGUGUCUCUGCUUUGCUUCUCAAGAGAACAAAAACGAAGAAAAACACUAAGGAACGAUAGCAUUUGUCGUAGAAGGAUCAAAUGGCUGAAGAAUUGGAAGGACAGAGUUAUUUUAGACGAACUCGAGUAAAAUAAGAAUACACGUAAAUCUUGUUGAAAGAGCUCAAAGUUUUAAAGUGGUAAAGAGGGCGCACAUAUGCGUGGGCGUAUUUUGCGGAACGACUCGACAAUCGCUUUUUCAUGUUUCCUUUGGGUUGUGUCUUCGAAAACGUCGUUGUGUAAAUUCAAACAAUCUGCGUACGCAGAACCGUCGAGAAUACUUCAUUAUAGGUGGAUUGGUAAUGAAAAAGAAGGUCAAUGGCUAAACUUGGCAGGAAGCUCGCAUGGUCGUCGCAGGAAGCGACUUCGACAUCGACGUCGACGUUGACGAUGGGACGGCUGCAGCUCACACGUCAGACACGCGUUUCGUUUUAUCGCUUACGAUGACAAACGUGAACAUGUCAAAGUAUCUUCUAAUUUUUAUUUCAUUUGCGAAAUGAAAUAUGAACGACAAGGAUAAUAAUUGGAAUGGUCUGGUAGAAGGUUGAUGUACUACUUGCUUUUGAAUUGAGCGCGAGGCUUUUCUUUUAGUUGAUUAAUGCAUCCAAAUUAGUCAAACGUAUUUCCGUCAAAAAUAUCUUAGAAUCUCGUAUCUCGAAGAAAUUUAUCUGUUAUCAAUGGUCAACAAUUGUGUUCUAUCAUUGAUGCGAUAGGAGUAUGAUGUAAAUGUUUUUCCCGCGCGAUGUCGUCGAUAAGAGAGUCGUCGACUUGUGCGCUUUCUCGAUUAUGUCGACGCCAGGUCGAUAUGGUGAUUUGAACUUGGACCUCACCGUGACAAGGAACGAAACUAUUUCUUCUCGCUUUUGCUGAUUGCCAUGUAUUUUUUUCAUCGAUCUUCGACUUCUCCUGAUUUAUCAUUUUUUUCUAAAUUUAACUCGUACUCUUUUUUUUUUUUUAGCAAUAUUCUACAUGCAACAUUUUCUUUUUGUAUUUUGAAAUUUCUAUCGGAGUCGAUUUUCUUUGGGAUCAAAGUACAAUUUCUGUAAUUACAUAUGAGUUACAACGAAUUACUAUAGUACCAUUAGAAAGGUCUUUGCAACAGAUCGGUAGAAUUAGAUCGACCUAUUUCUGCCGGUACGUCUGCACUCUAUUAUUCAAUAUCAUAGGUAAGCCACCUCAAACGGAAGGACUGCUUAACUUGGUUGUACUAGUAGCAUUUAUGCGAUGAUAAAAAUAAGAUAGUUAAACGAUCCUAACAUUAUCUUCUUUUUUUCUUUCCUUCCAUCGUGUACGAUAUCAGGAAAACAUUUUAUUGUACCUCGUCGAUAGACUAUUUCAAUUAAAAAAUAUUUCUAUGCGAUCUUUCGCCGCCGGAAAUAAUUAAGCAUCGAUAAUGUUUCGACAUGAAAAUGAUGUUUCUCCAAUAACGAAGAUAUAGAUUUAGAACUUCAGUUCUAAGCGCUGCACUCCGCUAUUCGUAUGCAUUAGAUAAAUGCUCAGAUAGUGAAAUGAAUUAUCUUGUUAAUAUAUCAAUAGUAACUGCAGUAACAAUUGGCGCAAUUGCAAAGACAAAAUUAUCUUGUUACUAUCGGUAGGACCUAAACUAUGAUAAAAGUCAUUGCACGUGUAGUUAACUGUUGCCGGUUAACAACUGCUUAGUCCAAUUUGUAUAUUCUAUGCGCUUAGAAAUCAACUAUAAAGAAUUCGUUCGGUUUUCCUUCAGAAAAUCAGAAUAUACAGAUAUGUAAUUUUAAGAUUAUUGUUCUAUCAUAUUUAGAUAAAAAUGAUACAUUCGAAAAUGAAGUAGAAAAAAAAGAAAUGAAAAAAAAAAAACACAAUCGAAAGAAGGAUAAACGGAUAAGACAAUCUGACGAUGUUGUGAAGGCCAGUGAUUCGUUGAAUUUAUCCUCGCUUGUAAGAUUAAAAUUUUGCGAGCGUAGACGGUAACUAAUAGUCGGAUCACGAGGACAAAUUGUGACUGGUGCAAUGAUAAAAGAGACUGGGAGCUUACUCGAUUACACCGACGUCAGGUCGGUUGCGAGUUGAACUUGGACCUCUCGUAGCAACAGGAACGCUCGAGAAUCGUUCGACGAAUCCCUUCGAAGAGUUGGAACGAUUUUAAAAUCGAGAUAUACGAGAUGGUCGAACGAGAAUCAGAUCGCGUCGAUUCGACGUUAUCUUCUUCUCGAAUACGCGCCAAUAACUUUGAAAAAGAGAAUAUUAUCAAUCUUUCGUGUUCAGGUUAACGAUAAUGAUCCUCGCACGAUAAUUAGCAGCGAUAUUCUAGUCUACUGGAAUUUAAGAAAUUAAAGGUAAAAAGAAGCAAGACAAUCGGCCCUCUCGAAUGGCCCUCUCGAUCGGUCGUCUCACCGACAUACGAAUUUCGACGUCGCGCUUAAUAGAGAGACAACGACUCGACGGGGAAUUAUGCGGCGUUGGGCGCAUAAUCAUGAGCGUAGUCUGAUCGAGACAGUUGCUCUGAUAUGACCCCCUGCGAGAGUGGUCUCAAUUUUAAACUGCGACCGAUAGACGGUAGAGAGCGGAAAGAGAGCAAAAAGAGAAAGAGAGAGAGAGAGAGAGAGAGAGAGAGAGAGAGAGAGAGAGACGAAAAGAGAGCCUAUAAUGGACCGUCGCAAGCGUGAUUGGCGUAACAAGUCGGGCCUAGAAUCGACUUCGACUUGUAUACAUAUAACGCCUACAUUCACAUAUAUCGUAGCCUGGAUCUCGAGCGUGCACUCGAAGAAGAAGAAGAAUAAGAAUAAGACGAUACGCGAAGAAUAUAGUAUAUCGCUCGUAAAUAUACGAUAAGUAUGCCGCGAGCUUAUGCCCCCUGCGAGAGUGUAGUGCCUAUUUCAAAGUGCAAAUGACAAUCAUUCACGUGAUGUUUGCAGAAAUCCGUUUUACAUGCAUACGUAUCGGAUGAUAUAUUCGCUAACUCGUAACUUAUAAUUUACUCUAUCGGUUUCUACCACCAGCUGCACGACCGAGUUUCUCUCUUCUAGUCGUUCUAUUCGUUAAUGCCUCUCUAAAAAAAAAAAUAUCUCGAUCAAUGAGGAAAACAGCAGAUAGGGAGAAUGAUUGACGGAUACCGAAUAAAAAUACAAAGAGCUUAUUUUCGUUGAUCUCGAGAAUACGCGAAAUCUAAGCUUAUCGUCGAAACAUAAAUUUGACUAUUUGCCGUUCGAUUUCUCUUUUGCCUCGAUGACCGAUAAUCCUUGCUAAAAAUAAAAUCGUUUCUUCUUCGGGUGCGAAGUACGAUCCGUAUUUCUCGGGUUGGCAAUUAUGCGGUCACUGCCACGGGAUAAUUUAAAAGGAAAGGAAAAUAUCUUCCGUGUCAAUAAAUCGGUGCCAGAGGUCCUUAUAAAAUGGCCCCGAUAAAGCAAAGAAUAUUUUUCUAAUUAAUUAACUAACUUGUUAGGAUGGUGUUUGCUUUUACGAAAAGAAAGAGAAAGAAAGAAAGAAAAGAGAAAAGUAAAGGACCUCUCCUCCCACAUACGAGUCAAUCUAAUUCUUUCCUCUUAAAAGAGAAAAAGAAGAAUGUCUUUCUCGUUAAUAUAGUAGAAGAAGUCAAGUACGGUGGGGUCAAAGAGAAAAAGAAGAUGUAUAUUCGACAAUCAUGGACGAUUAGUCAGCCACGAGAGUGCAUCGCGUGAAACACGUGGGACAUUGUACGUCCUUGGUGUCGUUCCCCUUUCUUCUUUUUCUUCUUCAUCUUUCGAUGUCUCUCUCUCUGUCUCUCUCUCUCUUAAUCGAACGGACAAACGAAAGAAGAAACAAACGCAGUGUGAGUGGACAGCUUUUCGCAACUACGCUAUAUAGUGCUCCUCGUACACGUGACAUAAUAAAAGUAAACCUAACCGAGUACAGUUUCACUGCACGGUAGUCGCAAUUACAUCUAUUAAUAGAUCACGAGAAGACGUGUACACGAAGCUUUCAUCUCAAUAGCACGUUACUUUACGGUGACAACAAUAAAACUCGGUGUUCGAGUUGGCCUACGCUCUAGCAUGACUCUAUACCGGUCGUCGUAAAAGAACCUCGCGGUAGAGAUCGUGGAUUUCUAGUUAGGCGAGUUAGGCGAGAAACGCGAACAAAAAGAAAGAGUCAGCUCUCGUAGUUUCCCCGUUCGAUCGAACGUAUAAUUCCAUAACGAUCGAGGGAGUGCCUUUUGUUCGAGGAUCGAGAGAUAAGUAGAAUUUUAUAUUCGAAUGAAGCAGUUAAUACGCUUCUCUAGGCGAGAUUAAUAAUUAUCUUUCUUCCUUUCGAUCGAUGCUUGAAACGCAUAAUCCUAGCGCACAAUCGUCCUAUUUAACAGGUAUGCUUCGCGGAAAUCGUUUAAGCGGACCAGAUACGAAACGCAAGGCUUUAUUUGAAUUGUAAAUGUUCAUAACUGGAUAAUUGGUGUGAUCGUUACAUCUCGUUGAUCCUACGGAUUUAUUCACAUUAUAGUUCGUUUUCAUUGGAUCGUUGGCAGCAGAGAAUUCUCGUAUUUAUCAAGGGAAAGCGUGUACGAUGACGAGAUCGAAGGAUAAAUCUAAACUAGAAAAAGGACGAGAAUUUUAGAAUGUUAAUCUUAAUGAAACUUAAUUAUGUGAUGAGCGAAAAAUCCACGAACUCGAGCUUGUUUACGGUUUGCAACCGUUGAUGGUCUCUAUGAAUAGACGAGGGACUCAAACGCAAUUCUUUUUUCAAUUCAAGAUAUCGGAAUUGGUACAAUCGCCGGAAAGAAACGAGGGUAGGAGGUCGAACGAGCGUUUCUCUUUCUAUCUCUCUUUCCCUCCGCUAUCUGGCGAAAAGUACGGAAAAUUUAUCGUACCGAGACAAAACAGGCAUUAUGAUUAAUUAAUGGAUCCCGAUAACACAAAGCAUCCUUUGUUUCCGGUGAUCGAUAGAAAUCGAAGAUCACUCGGGAUGAUUCUAUCAGUGUGUUUCUUGUAAACUCGUGCGUUCGGUGCUUCACGUUUUCUUUCACGCAUCGCCGAUCGAUCCUUCAAUUAUAUUACAAUGAGAAAGAUCUUCUUAUCUCGCGUGCUGCGCUCUCAAGUACGAUAAUUUAUUAUGUACGUAAUGGAAUAUCGAUUACUUUGUACUUUGUUUCGAGUAAUUAUUACGAUAUAUGUACGUACAACUCGCACGCUUGGGUUUAAAUUAAAUUGAAAAAAAACAAAAAAAAAAGAAAAAGAAAAAGAAAAAGAAAAAAAGAAACAAAACAAAAGAACAAUAAAACAAUUUUAAGCGAUUCCGCGUCUGCGCUCUCAAGGAAGACGAAUACGCUACGUUUUAUUUAUAAACGCUUUGGAAAUUAAGACAAUCGGUCAACGACUACGAAUUAUCUUAAUUCUUUUUUUUUCCUUUUUUGUUUCUUUUUUCUCUCCUGUAUUUACAACAUUUCCAUGUUGUGUUCCCAUUAAUGAGGGAGAACGAUAGAUUUACAAAUCCUUCGAGAAUGAAUUUAAUAAGUUGCAAUAAAUGUCUCAUCUCGAAGAAUAUGGUUAUAAAGCAUAUAGUCAUAAAGCUACGGAUCAAAAUAUAAAAUAGAAAUGGCUAUUGAAAAGCUGAAAUAUA